rnacentral:lncRNA from 1 species
GUAUACAUGUGCACCACAUUCAUGGCUUGGCGCCAAAAGAGGUGACAAGAGUCAGAUCCUCUGGAACUGAAGUUACAGAUGGUUGUGAAACCACCAUAUGGAUGCGAGGAACCGGAUCCCAGUCUUCUGCAAAGGCAACCAGUGCUCUCAAGAGCUAUCUCUUCAGCCCAUGACUACAGGACAAUGGAAAAGAAGACCAGGAACAGCAGCAGGAUGAAAAAGACGAAGAGGAGCC